rnacentral:rRNA from 1 species
AUUGAACGCUGGCGGAAUGCUUUACACAUGCAAGUCGAACGGCAGCACGGACUUCGGUCUGGUGGCGAGUGGCGAACGGGUGAGUAAUGUAUCGGAACGUGCCCAGUCGUGGGGGAUAACGUAGUGAAAAUUACGCUAAUACCGCAUACGAUCUAUGGAUGAAAGCGGGGGAUCGCAAGACCUCGCGCGAUUGGAGCGGCCGAUAUCAAAUUAGGUAGUUGGUGGGGUAAAGGCCCACCAAGCCAACGAUCUGUAGCUGGUCUGAGGGGACGACCAGCCACACUGGAACUGAGACACGGUCCAGACUCCUACGGGAGGCAGCAGUGGGGAAUUUUGGACAAUGGGCGAAAGCCUGAUCCAGCCAUUCCGCGUGCAGGAUGAAGGCCCUCGGGUUGUGAACUGCUUUUGUACAGAACGAAAAGGUUUCUACUAAUACUAGGAGCUCAUGACGGUACUGUAAGAAUAAGCACCGGCUAACUACGUGCCAGCCGCCGCGGUAA